ACUUUGCUUCUUUCUAAGGGGCAGUUCGGGACAGUGUAAAGAGCAUUUGGCUUGGAGUCAGAAGGCCUGGGUCCAA
rnacentral:miRNA from 1 species